rnacentral:rRNA from 1 species
UACGAAGGGGGCUAGCGUUGUUCGGAAUCACUGGGCGUAAAGAGCGCGUAGGCGGCUAGAUAAGUCCGGUGUGAAAGUCACAGGCUCAACCUGUGAAUGCCGCUGGAAACUGUCUGGCUAGAGUCCGGAAGGGGCGAGUGGAAUUCCUGGUGUAGCGGUGAAAUGCGCAGAUAUCAGGAGGAACACCAAUGGCGAAGGCAGCUCGCUGGGACGGUACUGACGCUGAGGCGCGAAAGCGUGGGGAGCAAACAGG